rnacentral:rRNA from 1 species
AUUGAACGCUGGCGGCAUGCUUUACACAUGCAAGUCGAGCGGCAGCGCGGGGGCAACCCUGGCGGCGAGCGGCGAACGGGUGAGUAAUGCAUCGGAACGUACCCUGGAGUGGGGGAUAACGCCGCGAAAGCGACGCUAAUACCGCAUAUGCUCUGAGGAGGAAAGUGGGGGAUCUGCAAGGGCCUCACGCUCUGGGAGCGGCCGAUGUCCGAUUAGCUAGUUGGUGGGGUAAAGGCUUACCAAGGCGACGAUCGGUAGCUGGUCUGAGAGGAUGAUCAGCCACACUGGGACUGAGACACGGCCCAGACUCCUACGGGAGGCAGCAGUGGGGAAUUUUGGACAAUGGGGGCAACCCUGAUCCAGCCAUGCCGCGUGAGUGAAGAAGGCCUGGUUGUAAGACUCUUCGUGGGAGAAGUUGCACAGGAGUAAUACCUUAGUGUAGAUGAC